UGUAAAAGCUUGGGUGCGAGCAAGUAGGAGGAGAAUUUCGAUCGAAGUACAGAUUUUUCUUGAAUUCGAGGAUAAUGAUGUUAUUACCAGCUGAUUAAGGAGGAGUAGUGUAAGUGUCAGAUGGGUACGAACGUCAUCUUGUGACAGCAUCACCUUUGUUUGGCUAAAGUACAAGAGAACUGCAGCAUCUAAGACUACAUGUACAUCGACUUUGAAUAAUCUACCCGGUAUAUCCUCAAAAAGGCAACUCAAAUACAGAAAGUGCAUAUAAUUUGGAAAAGAGACCAUCAAUCCACUGGGGGGUAUCGCAUGAAAGCAAUGAUUAUAGAAUAUUGUAAGGCUGGAGGAGUUAUAGUACAACAGG